AUUCUACUCCCUCCGUUGCACAAUACAUGCCUUCUAUUUGUCAAAAUAUAUAUGUAUCUAUAUAUGUCUUAGUAUAUAGGUACAUCCAUUUUUGGACAAAUGGAAGUCAAGUAUUUUGGAACGGAGGGAGUACACA
rfam:Triticum aestivum genome assembly, contig: Triticum_aestivum_CS42_TGACv1_scaffold_556773_7AL